UGAGCAAAAACAUAAUUUUAUUUCUCGUUGAAAGGAACUUUUUAGAAUAUUACAGCAGAACACACAUGACUGAAACAGCUGCCAUUUCACAUAACACAGUACAGGAAGAAGGGUGAAGUUCAAUUGUAUGUGUAAUAUCAUAUAUACUUCAAUAGAAAAGAAAGGUAUUGCUCCCAGGUGUAUAUUUUUAGUAUGGCAUUUCUCUGCUGUGUCGACAUGGCUAAAGUCAAAUUCAACGAGGUGUCAAAGGAAGCGGGACAAUGAACGUGACAUCCCCCAAAGCGUGGGAGCUUUGUGGCUUUUAUUAGGCUGAGAAUAAACUUUCCAAUGCAAUACAUAAAGAAACCUUAAAACCGCUCUCCAAAUGGAUAAAUACCAUCAUACAGCAAUCAGAAUAUGCAAAAGAAAAAACACAAGGCAGCUCCGCGCGAGAGCAGGCAUGCAAAAAUAUGACCAUAUCGGAAAAGAACACUACAGACUAAAUGUAGCGGGUGUUUAUGUUUGCGUCGAAUGGCAACUGAUGUAAAGCCGAACAGUGAGAAACAUGGUGGACUGAAACAACUUGAUGCUUUGUAAAGUGAACUGGAGUGCUGAAAGUUCGCUGACAAACUACUUCAAUGAAGUCAUAUUUGUUUUAAUAGAAAUUGCAAUAACAUACUGUUAUCAAUUUGUGUCUCUUUUUACUUCCUCUGAGGAAAAACAGAAAUGUUCGGAAAAAGCAGGUAUGAAAUAUUACCCUGGACUUUUGCAUCCAAGCUUAGUGUUUUAAAUAAGCCACUUUAGGCAGCAUUAUCUAAUAAAUGUCUUAUAUCUCUAAGACAUAUUGCAAUAAAUCUCUUUUGAAAAAUAAUUCUAUCUAUAAUUGAUCUGUUGUAACUAAAUCUCUGCCAGUAAGUUAUAUAUAUCUUUUUCUUUCCUUAUAGCACCCGGCGGAUGGGUUUUUGUUUUCCAAAAAGCACCUAAAUUCUUACAAUCAGACUGAAUCUGCUUCAGUCAUUAUUGGUCUGAGUUCAAGAUUAAAGGAUCCAAAUGAUGCACCCCAUGUAGGUCAACAAGGCCAGUUCCCUGGAGACUGUCACUCAAGCCCAGCAAUAUUAAGCUUUAUCUUGAGGACCAAUGCUAGAGACCUGCUGCCCUUUGGAGACAAAGGUCACUGAGGUCACAUGACACAGGGGCCAGCAUCAAGCAAGAUAUCAGCAGCUGACACAAGCGAUGCACAGGUGAAGAUAGACCCCCAAAUACAGGUGGGACAUGCCAACCCUGAGACAUGGUGAAACAGUAGGGUAGACGUCAACACUUGAGGGAGGAGUGACAAGGGAUACAGGGCCAUUUUAGCUCUUUUGGAUCAUCCUCAAAAUCCAAAUGAGCAGUGUGCUUGUAACAGAUCAUCAUAAUGGUUGUGGGUGCCCUGCCAUGCCCUAUGCCCCUCCUCACGCUGGCUCUGUAGGUUGUUUGAUCUGGGCUGGUCCAGGUGAGACAUUUGGGACAGAAAAGCACACAUACAACAGCCAUGGUGACGGAGCAGGGGGGCUGUCUCCCCAUGGAUCUCCCCCCACCCUACACCUGUCCUGCACCAGGUGAGCUCUAGCACUGCAUAACCAGGAUGUGGG
ensembl:lncRNA